AGGUUGUCCGUGUUGUCUUCUCU
rnacentral:miRNA from 2 species